rnacentral:rRNA from 1 species
UACGUAGGGUGCGAGCGUUGUCCGGAAUUAUUGGGCGUAAAGAGCUCGUAGGCGGUCUGUCGCGUCGGCUGUGAAAACCCGGGGCUCAACCCCGGGCCUGCAGUCGAUACGGGCAGACUAGAGUGCGGUAGGGGAGACUGGAAUUCCUGGUGUAGCGGUGAAAUGCGCAGAUAUCAGGAGGAACACCGGUGGCGAAGGCGGGUCUCUGGGCCGUAACUGACGCUGAGGCACGAAGGCCAGGGGAGCAAACGGG